GAUGAACGCUGGCGGCGUGCCUAAUACAUGCAAGUCGAGCGAACAGACGAGGAGCUUGCUCCUCUGACGUUAGCGGCGGACGGGUGAGUAACACGUGGAUAACCUACCUAUAAGACUGGGAUAACUUCGGGAAACCGGAGCUAAUACCGGAUAAUAUAUUGAACCGCAUGGUUCAAUAGUGAAAUACGGUUUUGCUGUCUCUUAUAGAUGGAUCCGCGCCGCAUUAGCUAGUUGGUAAGGUAACGGCUUACCAAGGCAACGAUGCGUAGCCGACCUGAGAGGGUGAUCGGCCACACUGGAACUGAGACACGGUCCAGACUCCUACGGGAGGCAGCAGUAGGGAAUCUUCCGCAAUGGGCGAAAGCCUGACGGAGCAACGCCGCGUGAGUGAAGAAGGUCUUCGGAUCGUAAAACUCUGUUAUUAGGGAAGAACAAAUGUGUAAGUAACUAUGCACGUCUUGACGGUACCUAAUCAGAAAGCAACGGCUAACUACGUG
rnacentral:rRNA from 1 species